UACGUAGGGUGCAAGCGUUGUCCGGAAUUAUUGGGCGUAAAGAGCUCGUAGGCGGUCUGUUGCGUCGGCUGUGAAAACCCGGGGCUCAACCCCGGGCCUGCAGCCGAUACGGGCAGACUAGAGUUCGGCAGGGGAGACUGGAACUCCCGGUGUAGCGGUGAAAUGCGUAGAUAUCGGGAGGAACACCAGUGGCGAAGGCGAGUCUCUGGGCUGUAUCUGACGCUGAUGCGCGAAAGCUAGGGGAGCAAACGGG
rnacentral:rRNA from 1 species